AGCGAACGCUGGCGGCAUGCCUAACACAUGCAAGUCUGACGGGCGGGGGCUUUCGGGCCUUGUCAGUGGCGGACGGGUGAGGAGCGCGUAGGAACGUAUCCAAGGGUGGGGGACAACCGCGGGAAACUGCGGCUAAUACCGCAUGGGGCCUCUAGGGAGACCUGAAAGGGGAGACCUGGGGGCCAAAGGCUGGGGCAACCUAGUCGCCGGUGGAGCGGCCUGCGUCCGAUUAGCUAGUUGGUGGGGUGAGGCUUACCAAGGCAGCGAUCGGUAGCUGGUCUGAGAGGAUGAUCAGCCACACUGGGACUGAGACACGGCCCAGACUCCUACGGGAGGCAGCAGGUGGGGAGUAUUGGACAAUGGGCGAAAGCCUGAUCCAGCAAUGCCGCGUGGGU
rnacentral:rRNA from 1 species